rnacentral:lncRNA from 10 species
GUUGAGACUUUAUUCACUCUGGGCAGUUUGUUGAAGAUUAGGUGGUCAGCUCACAAUGAAUCAUAAGCUGCUUUUGUCCCUUGCUGUCUAUGCUUAGAAGCUAAAAGGUUAAGCAGCGAUGUCAGCGCUAUCAGGGAGCUGUGGAGACUGGAAUUGAAGUUCAGAACCUUUCAUGGGAGACAGCUCAGGAUUGUUGCUUCAUAGUCCCAAAUGGCUGCUACAGUUUUG